rnacentral:tRNA from 1 species
GAGGGGUAUCGGGGCUGGGCCCCGCCUGGUCUGCAAAACCAGUGGAUGCUCUGGACAAGAAGCUAUGGUGGGUUCGAUUCCCACUACCCCUCUCCA